rfam:Triticum aestivum genome assembly, contig: Triticum_aestivum_CS42_TGACv1_scaffold_321903_4BL
CCCGAUGAUGCUAUGCCCAACAUUUAGAGGUGCAUAUGGCUCCAGGAUCCUGUUUACAGGAUGAACCUACCUGGAGGCGCUGUAUCCACAUGACAUCCACGGGCAAGUCUGAGGU